UGGCUCAGGAUGAACGCUGGCGGCGUGCCUAAUACAUGCAAGUCGAACGAAACUUCUUUAUCACCGAGUGCUUGCACUCACCGAUAAAGAGUUGAGUGGCGAACGGGUGAGUAACACGUGGGCAACCUGCCCAAAAGAGGGGGAUAACACUUGGAAACAGGUGCUAAUACCGCAUAACAUAGUUACCGCAUGGUAACUAUGUAAAAGGUGGCUAUGCUACCGCUUUUGGAUGGGCCCGCGGCGCAUUAGCUAGUUGGUGGGGUAAAGGCUUACCAAGGCAAUGAUGCGUAGCCGAACUGAGAGGUUGAUCGGCCACAUUGGGACUGAGACACGGCCCAAACUCCUACGGGAGGCAGCAGUAGGGAAUCUUCCACAAUGGGCGAAAGCCUGAUGGAGCAACGCCGCGUGGGUGAAGAAGGUCUUCGGAUCGUAAAACCCUGUUGUUAGAGAAGAAAGUGCGUGAGAGUAACUGUUCACGUUCCGACGGUAUCUAACCAGAAAGCCACGGCUAACUACGUGCCAGCAGCCGCGGUAAUACGUAGGUGGCAAGCGUUAUCCGGAUUUAUUGGGCGUAAAGGGAACGCAGGCGGUCUUUUAAGUCUGAUGUGAAAGCCUUCGGCUUAACCGGAGUAGUGCAUUGGAAACUGGGAGACUUGAGUGCAGAAGAGGAGAGUGGAACUCCAUGUGUAGCGGUGAAAUGCGUAGAUAUAUGGAAGAACACCAGUGGCGAAAGCGGCUCUCUGGUCUGUAACUGACGCUGAGGUUCGAAAGCGUGGGUAGCAAACAGGAUUAGAUACCCUGGUAGUCCACGCCGUAAACGAUGAAUGCUAAGUGUUGGAGGGUUUCCGCCCUUCAGUGCUGCAGCUAACGCAAUAAGCAUCCGCGUGUGGAGUACGACCGCAAGGUUGAAACUCAAAGGAAUUGACGGGGGCCCGCACAAGCGGUGGAGCAUGUGGUCUAAUUCGAAGCAACGCGAAGAACCUUACCAGGUCUUGACAUCUUAUGACAAUCCUAGAGAUAGGACUUUCCCUUCGGGGACAAAAUGACAGGUGGUGCAUGGUCGUCGUCAGCUCGUGUCGUGAGAUGUUGGGUUAAGUCCCGCAACGAGCGCAACCCUUAUUGUUAGUUGCCAGCAUUAAGUUGGGCACUCUAGCAAGACUGCCGGUGACAAACCGGAGGAAGGUGGGGAUGACGUCAAAUCAUCAUGCCCUUUAUGAUUUGGGCUACACACGUGCUACAAUGGACGGUACAACGAGUCGCAAGACCGCGAGGUUUAGCAAAUCUCUUAAAGCCGUUCUCAGUUCGGAUUGUAGGCUGCAACUCGCCUACAUGAAGUCGGAAUCGCUAGUAAUCGCGGAUCAGCAUGCCGCGGUGAAUACGUUCCCGGGCCUUGUACACACCGCCCGUCACACCAUGAGAGUUUGUAACACCCAAGCCGGUGGGGUAACCUUUUGGAGCCAGCCGUCUAAGGUGGGGUAGAUGAUUAGGGUGAAGUCGUAACAAGGUAACCGU
rnacentral:rRNA from 1 species